rnacentral:rRNA from 1 species
UAUAAUUUGAAAAUUAGUUUGAUUAUUUUAUUGGUUUUAUGCCUUUUGCAUCAUGCUUAAUAGAUUGGAUAAAAUAUUUUAUUAAUCGAAUAGUUCAGAUUUUAUUAUUAAUAGCUUAGAGGUAAGUAUAGCUUGGGUAAAGUUAUUAAAAUUAAUAAUAAGGAGUGAUAAAUAAUUCGUUGAACUUUAUAUCUAUUUAGCUAUUUGUUAAUAUAUUAUAAGGUAACAAGUUAAAAGAUUUGUUAUUAGUUCACACAUUAAUGUUGUGUUUAUAUAAAAUUAGGUUAAAAGUACCUACUUUUUGUAAGUUUGUUAAAAAUUUUGUUUAUAUGUUUAUGUGUUGAGUUGCGUAAUAGCUUAAUGAAACUUUGAGGGUUUAAUAUAUUAUUAAAUAAGUAAUAUUAAUGUAUAAAUUUUUUCUAGAUACUUUUCCGUCUGUUUAUUAAAAACAUUUCCAAUUUUAAGUUUAGUUGGUAGUACCUGCCCAAUGUGUAAAUCAAUGGCCGCAGUAUAUUGACUGUGCAAAGGUAGCAUAAUUAAUUGCCUUUUAAUUGGGGGCUUGUUUGAAUGGUUUGACGUGAUAAGCUAUAAUAUUUUAUACUUAUGUGAAAUUGGUUUCGUAGGUUCAGAACCCACGGGUAUUAAUUAGACGGAAAGACCCUGGGAUCUUUCUUUUUUGCUUGGGGCAAGUUUUAUUUUUUUAAUAUAAUUUAGACCCUGAAGAUUGAGUUUAGUGGGUUAAGUUACCCCAGGGAUAACAGUGUAAUAAUUAAUUAGAGACCAUAUCGAAUUAAUUGUUUGCCACCUCGAUGUUGACUUAGAUUUUACCUAGGUGUAGUAGUUUAGGUUUUUGGUCUGUUCGACCUUAUAAAUCUCCAUGAGUUGAGUUAAGACCGGCGUAAGCCAGGUCGGUUCUUAUCUAUUAUUCAAAUUUAUCAGUACGAAAGGACAGUAAAUUUUUUUAUU